AAAAAAACAAAUGUUCAGUGUAUAUAUAAAAUUGAAGAGUAAAGUGAAGGGUAAAUUCUUGUGUUGUUACAAUAUUCAGAGACAAAAAGAAUCAGCAGAAACAUUGUUUUGGCACAACUUGCUACAGAAUGGAAUAAAUUUUCUCACAGAAAAAACUAGUUUCACAAGUGGGCAGAUAUUUGUUGGCUCUCUUUGCAUUUGUAAUUCUAUCCACUUGUACAUCUGUUCAUCCAUGUCUCUGUGCACCUGUAACAAUUUAAUUUAUGUUAAUUGUUGGAAAAGAACAUUAUCAAGUGCGAAGAAAAAAAAGAUUACUCGUAAUAUCAGCAAAAGUAGGCUUAUGCACCACUAUUGUAUUUCCAAGGAAAAUAUGUUCCUCGUGAGAUUAAUUUGAAUAUGCGGAAUCGCUGAAGAAUAGGAAGAAAUUAAAUAAAGUUAGGCCACAAAAUCAUAUCUAACAACCCUCUAUUGCUGUAAAAUGUUGAAUAAGAUUAAUAUGUACAUGUUCAUGCAGGAAUGAUUUCACCAGUGGUAGUUGAAUUUCAUUGUCUUUACAAUUGACUAUGUGAUAUAAGAACUUCUCAUGAAUUUCUUUAAUAAUAAAAGUAGCUGAACCUUUUUAAUGAACAAGUUUAAAGAAUGGAAUGAACAAGAAUUGAUUUGACAAAUGUUGAGCCGAAUGAAACAGGUUUAAUAAACAAUUGUUCAACCAUAAAUAAGUAGUUGAACAUCUUUUUUGUUAACAAUUUGAACAAAAAAGAGAUAUGUAAAUAUAUUAAACAAAAAAUCCAGGCAAUUAAUAAAAAUGUUUAACAAACGUUCAAAUUUGUUUUUUUCUAUUUAACCUAUUAAAAACAAAUAUUCAGUUUUUUGUCGCAAACAAAUGUUCCAUAUUUUAUACAAAAAUAUUCAUCUUAUAUUACAAAAUUGUUCAUGGUAUAUUUAAAAAAACAUUAACUAUGCAUUAUAAAAUUGUUCUCGCUUAUUAAGAAUGUGUUCAACGUAUAUUACACAAAAAUGUUCAGUGUGUAUUCGGAAAUUGUUCAGCAUCGAUUACACAAAAUGUUCAAUGUGUAUUAAAAAAAUGUUCAACGUACAUUAAAAAUGUUUAAGGCCUACCAAAAUUGAACAAUAGACUUUAAUAGGUUAAACAAAAAUAUGGAACGAAUGAACUCUUAAGAAUUUAGUUGAACAGAAAGUGAAUAAGUUUAAUAGACGAUGACCAAAUGUUGGAAUGUUAAUAAACAUAAAAAAUUCCUUUUUAUGCUGAAAGUUGAUUAAGUAAGAAACAAAUACACAUAAUGACAAGUUAAUUAGAACCAUGCUGAAGUAGAUGAUAUUCUGCAUGGCAAACUCUGCAAAAGGCAAUAAAAUUAGAACCACCCAGCACAAAAGGAAACAUCACUUUGUUUCACCUUUUCUUAUAAAAAUAUGGGACCAAACUUCACUGCAUAUGGAAGACAUAUGUCAUGUUCAGAUUGAGAAUGAUUGAAAAAAUAGCACCCAUGCAGAAUAAGGAAAAUUGCUUAACGAAAUAACACUAUGAAUCACCUUGCACAUACUAUUUGGGGACCAAACUUCACUAACUAUGGAAGAACAUCAUCACAUCAGAACUGCCAAAUUUGUGAGAAACGAAACACAUCCAAGCACCAACUAGUGUUCAGAUUGAGAGGUUUCGCUUUUACAUUUCACUCGAUCUACUCUAAUUCUAGACUCAGGAAGCCAACUGGACCAGAUUGUUCUUCCAUAGCGCAUAUGUCAACCGGCGAUAUGAAGGACUUUGUUGUUGUGCUAGAAAAUGCCUACUUAACCAUAGCGCAUAUGCUUUGCUAACCAUUGCAACAAAUCCAUGUCUGCGCACAUUCAGAAGAUGUUUGAAUUAGUCUAGCAUAAAGCUUCUCUGCAAAGGAGACAUCUUACUAACAACUUUGGCCCAACGAAGAGUAGAAAACCGUGACCAGAAAGUCGCAGUGGACCGUACAGGAACAUUUUGCCCUAGAAAAAGAAAUAGAGGAAGGUAUAAAACUCAGAGUCAUAAAACAACACCAAAAGUGAAGAUAGUGCAAGAAAAGCUGAUAGAUAAUAUACAAAUGAAUUGCUAACAAGUAACCUAUUAAAAAAGGAAUGUGAUUACUUAAGAGUCAUAUUAGUUCAGGUCAAACAACAAAACAAAAUCUGUAAACCAAACACUAUUUUUAACCUUUUCGUCACAGAAAAAUUGCUCAUAAGUCAUGGAUAGAGUGGACAUACUUUUUCCUUAAGAAACCAAGUACUGUGAUGACCAAUUCUUCACAUAAAAACAAAUGCAAGCACCAACUACUGGUAUGAGCACCGAAGUAUUUCCAAAAAUCACACAAACCGACAACUAGUAUGAGUAAUCCCUACCAGAACGAACAAAACAACAACUAGGAUGAGCAAUCCCUACCAAAAUCGAGCAAAACAACUACUGUGAUGAGCAACCCCAACCAGAUCGAACACAUCAACUACUUGGAUCACCAAUUCCUACCAAAAAGGAGCACGAGAUUGAUCUAGGGGUCAAGAAACAGGGACGAAUUCCAACCAAAACAAAGCAAUCCCUAGCAGAUCGAACGAACAGAGCCGCAUCAACCAGCUCCCCACUCCAUACGAAACCAUAAUCGUAGAACUAAAUGGGUCGAGACCGAAACAGUAACUACAACCUGCUUCUCAAAUCCGCCAUGGAAAAGAUGGGAGAUGAACAACGAACCUUGCGCAGCCAUGGCGGCAACCAAUUCCGCGAAGAGAAAACGCCGGCCGGGGAGUCACGAAGAUACAGAGAAGAAGCAAGCGAAGAGAGAAGAGAAACGCCGGCUGGGGAAGCGAGACGAG
rnacentral:lncRNA from 1 species